rnacentral:rRNA from 1 species
UAUACAACUUUCAGCAAUGGAUCUCUUGGCUCUCGCAUCGAUGAAGAACGCAGCGAAAUGCGAUAAGUAAUGUGAAUUGCAGAAUUCAGUGAAUCAUCGAAUCUUUGAACGCACCUUGCGCUCCUUGGUAUUCCGAGGAGCAUGCCUGUUUGAGUGUCAUUAAAUUCUCA